GCCAGCCCGCUCAGAACUCAAAGGAAUUGACGGGGCCCGCACAAGCGUGGAGUAUGUGGUUUAAUUCGAUGCAACGCGAAGAACCUUACCUGGUCUUGACAUCCCGGAGACCCUUAGGAAACUAGGGGGUGCUUCCAUCUGGAAGAAUCUGGAGACAGGUGCUGCAUGGCUGUCGUCAGCUCGUAUCGUGAGAUGUUGGGUUAAGUCCCGCAACGAGCGCAACCCUUGCCUUUAGUUGCCAGCAGUUCGGCUGGGCACUCUAAAGGGACUGCCGGUGUUAAACCGGAGGAAGGUGGGGAUGACGUCAAGUCCUCAUGGCCUUUAUGACCAGGGCUACACACGUACUACAAUGGCCGAUACAAAGGGCAGCGACACUGCGAGGUGAAGCCAAUCCCGUAAAAUCGGUCUCAGUCCGGAUUGGAGUCUGCAACUCGACUCCAUGAAGUUGGAAUCGCUAGUAAUCGUGGAUCAGCAUGCCACGGUGAAUACGUUCCCGGGCCUU
rnacentral:rRNA from 1 species